UUUUUUUUUGUUUUUGUUUUCGUCUUUUUGCCUUUACUAGGGAAAGGCGAAUGGAGGUUCCCUCGGCAUAUGGAGGUUUCCAGGCUAGGGGGUCUAAUCAGAGCUGUAGCAGCCCGUCUGCAACCUACAACACAGCUCACAGCAAUGCUGGAUCCUUAACCCACUGAACAAGGCCAGGGACUGAACCCACAACCUCAUGGUUCCUAGUUGGUUUCAUUAACCAUUGCGCCACGAUGGGAACUCCAUUGGAUAGCUGUUUUGAUGCAGGUUUGAUCCCUGGCUUAGGAACUUCCACAUGCUGUGGGGGUUGGGGGCGGGGCAAAAAAAUUUAAGAAAAAAGUAAAUGAGGUCUUAGGUGUGACAAACCUAAGGGAACCUUAGAUUCAGAGGCGGCAAAGUCCCCUAUAUGGUGGGUUGUGAGCCCCUUUGUCCACUCAAGUGAUUGGUGAUCACCAUGGAAUCUGGCCAAGCUGGUUGUUUGGAAUGAGUGGCCUUAGGGGUGAGUGGUUACAGGGUUGGGGGAAGGCAAAUUCAUGGACAGUAGAGAGUGAAAGGGGUCCGGCCAAUCUAGCCCACUCCUGAUGCUUUUGAAGUAACAGAUAACUUCAAAAAAAAAGCAGAAUGGAGCUAAUGUAUAUUGCGUGCUGACAAAAUGGCUGGCAUUGGGCUAGGUGACUGGGCGUACAUUGUCUUACUUGAUUCUCACCAAGCUGCAGGUGCCAAAUGGAGAGAGUAAAGCCGGAGUUCAGAAGGGGGAAGUCAGUUAUCCCAGGUCAUUUGCUAGUGAGGGGCAAAGCUGGAACUUAAAGUGAGGUGUCCAAAAUUCCACACUAAGGCUUUGUUGCUUUAGGUUCCCUUUACUCCCAGUAGUGCUGACCUCUGCCCUGGGGAAUGUGGGGAGGAGGUGGACACAGGCAAGGGAUGCUGCCAAGGAAAUAACUGUGUUAAGUGUGGAUGACUUCAGUCACAUCCCUCUGCAGCCUUCUACCCUCCCCUCUUCACCCCCCAGGGGAUGAAGAUAGGGAAAGCUGGGGGUGGGGGAAUCCACAACUGCAGAUGGAAUGCUGGAGUUUGUGCAGGGCUGUCCUUACAGCUCCCUUCCCCCACCUUCUCCUAAGCACAAAGGAGGGGAUCCCCAUUCCUGGGCCGGCCCUCUUUUCAACCCCCAGAAUCUGCAACUGCCCAUCAUUUCAUGCUCCCUCAGCAAAAGCCAAGGUGGAGAGAGAAAGGGUCUCAUAAACAUUUAAGCCUCCACAUCUGUAACCCUCCCCCAGUCAGUUAAGCCAGCCCUGCAGACUCUGGGCGGGGGUGAGGGAACCUUCACAAUCAAUCCCCACCUAAGUAACAAAGGGAAGGAGGACCCUCCACACAGUCUGGGCCAAAAGCCCUGGAAACGGGGGGUGGCGGGGACCAGCCCAGGUCCUCAGGGUCUACUCGUGGAGCCCACCGUAAAGCUUAAGGAAGAAAAGCUAGCAGCUGAGGACCCCCCAGAAGUGAAGGGGGCCAACUCCCUCUUCCAGACAGCUCCCCUCCCCUCCCUCCUUCCGGCUAAUAGGUAUUUCCUGUUUAUGAGGCAGCUAAAGCUGGGCUUUUGGGAAGGGAUGGAGACGGAGUCCCCCGACGCCCCUCCAGGUUAGGUUGGGGAAUCCUUGAGGAGUGCUGAAGGUUGGGAGGCGCCUCCCUGGGACAGGAGUGUCCCUUACGUUGACCAACCACAUCAUCCUCCCUUCCACCGCCCCCCCCCCAAGGCCCCAGACCCCAGGCGCGUAAGGGGCACUGGAGGGGUAUAUUUCCUGUUCUCCCCAGUCUUCGAGGCCCUCAAGGAAAGCAGCUUCCAGAGGAGGGGGGAGGCCGGGAGAGGGAGGCCAAGACUGGAUGGAAAAAGGGGGAGGGAGGAGAGCGUCUUGACUGAUGAGUCAGAGUCUGCUCGGAGGAAGGAUGGCCUGCGGAGUCCCCCCUCCCCAGCCCAACCUGGCGGUCAUUCUGCUCCCCCCAACCCCCCGCCGCCUGCAAAACGCAUUUCUCAGGCUCUUAGGCGGGAUCUCGCCUAAUUAACCCUUUUAGCUGCAGUCCCAACUGGUUUAGCAGGCAAGGGAGGGGCAGUUAAUUUAGAGGGGAGAUGCGCCAAGGGUGGCUACAAGAAUUAAGGUAGCGCUGCUUUCCCCACCCAGGUAGGGAUAGGGGCGUAGAACCAGGGGCCUCCAGAAUAAGUAUUCGGCUUUCAGCAGAGAGCAGGGGCUGGGGGUCGGCAGUCCGGUUUCCCUCCCUGAGCGCGGCCGGGGGUGGAGAGAGAGCUACACCUCACAGCUCACCCUGGCUCCGCCUUCCCUAGCCCCGGCUCCCGCUCCGGCUCCUCCACGCUCCCAACUCGGCGGCGGCCGGAGGACAGACACACUGCGUGAGGCUUCGCCUCCUUUCCUCCCCCCUCGCCCGCCCUCUCCGCCUCGGGGUCGCUGCCUCGGUCUCCUUUUAUAAAAGCUGCGUCACAUGCAUGCCGAGCCCAGAACGCUGCCGGCCUCUCGCCGCCCGCCCGCC
ensembl:lncRNA